GAUGAUACGCGAUAUUUUUAACUUAGACCUAAUUUUUAUACCUCCGUCCAAAGGAUAAAAUUAAAUAUUUUAUUCAUUUCAUACUCCUCAAGUAACAAUGUCAGGUCAAGGUGAAGUUUAUGUUUAAGUUUCAAUGAGUUAUCAAUAAAUAUCAUUUAUGGACUUUUGUUUAAAACCAAAAAUCGAAUUAAGAUUUAAAAGUAUUUUCAAUUCAAUACAUCGAAAAGAAUAAGCAAAAAAGGUGUACAUAUCGCCCGUCGCCCUCGUCUAAAGAUGAGGUAAGUCGUAACACAGUUAAUAUACUGGAAAGUGUAUUAGGUGUAUUUCUUCUUAGCUUUUAGUAUUUCACUUACACUGAAAAGAUCUCAUUUAUCUUAAUUCUGAUUUUAUUUACAAGAUCUUUGCUCUUUUUCUUGUCUAAUUUAGAUCCUCAAAAACUGAAAAGGAUUAUUAUAUCAUCAUUUAAGUAAAUUAAUGUACCUUUUGUAUCAGGGAUUUUCAAAUCAUAAUGCAAAUUCCAGAUUCCCGAAAUAAAACGAACUUCUUAUCUUAGUAAAAGUUGUGACAUAAACUAUAUAAAUACUAUGAAGUUGAGAUAUUCUUUUCAAGCUUUCCUUUAUCUGGUUCACUCCACCCUUUUCUCAAGAUCUCACAAAGAAUAAGCUUAGUGACAAGGUCCAUCACCUUUCUUUGUCUAAAUCUAGAUUUAACAGUAUCCACAUUGUUUUCAAACUCUUUUCCCCCCCUCUUCACCCCGACAUAAUCCAAGUGAACUAUUUAUGCCUCCUUACAAUGAAAAUAUGAGUAAAAUUUUCCCUUUUCUUCAUUUUUUAAAUCCCCCCCCUCGCAUAAGUUUAUUUUGAAUUUAUGAACUAGGCCCUCAAUCGAUUGACUGUUUACCAAAAACAUAGCUAAUAGAUUCCUAAUUACUAGUAAUACCUGCUCCAUGAAAAAUAA
rnacentral:rRNA from 1 species